rfam:[Candida] intermedia strain CBS 141442 genome assembly, chromosome: VII
CUCUCGGUGGCCAAGCUGGCUAAGGCGCGAGACUGUAAUUGUAUUGUAAUCUUGAGAUCGGGUGUUCGACUCACCCCCGGGAGA